GAUUUGCUAACUUUAUAAUAAAAGGGGCAAUUGCUUAUAUACUCGGAAAAAUUUCCGACUUUCUAAUUUAACGCUCUUAUAAGGUCAAUAUUGAAAAUACCUUUUUUAUAUUUCAACUUAUUUUAAAUAUACGUCAAGAGUUAAAUUCUAUUAAUGAACGAUUAGCAAUAACUAUUAUCUCUAUGAAAUUACUAUUUUGUCAUUCAAAUAUACCUUUCUAUCAUCACUGCUUUUUCUUAUUUGCCAUUAAAUUAGGGGCACAAAAAAUAUUUUAAUUUUUGGUCUUUUCAAAUAUACAUUUGUACCAUCACUAAUAUUUCUUAUUUGCUCUUAACUUAAGGGCAAAGUAGAAAUUUGAUUUUUUUUAAACUCUAGUUGAUAUUUAACUCACAUUUAACCCAAUUAACUUAAUGAGUGGUAAGUGCAAGGAAAUUUUAGAAUAACAGUGGAACAUAGGAACAUAGGAAGGGUAUAUUGGAAAAAAAAAAGAGUAGAGAUAAAUGUGAUAUUUUCAAAGUUUUCAGAAGUAUAUAUGUAAUUAUCUCAAUAAAAAACUAUA
rnacentral:lncRNA from 1 species